ensembl:snRNA
AUGUUGUAUCAGAGAGAAUGUCAGCACUCUUCUUGCUAAGUAUGAAAAGACCAAUGAGCCUAACAGUGUACAUUUAAGGCAUUGAUCCUUACAAUGUGGCAUCUAACCACUGUUUUUA